GCCCCAGUCCCACUAGGCCACGAUCGCACUACGAUCUGUGAAAAAAACGCAAAUUUUGAUGAUCGUGGUACGAUCGUGGAGGUCACAGUAAGGUCGUACCACGAUCGUGGUGAGGUCUUCAAGAUCGUGAAGAGCGUGGCCAACUUUGAACAUGUUCAAAACAAUCGUGGUGCGGUCGUGGCGAAAUUAGGGCGUAGUAAAAGCGUAGUGAGAGCGCACUAAGAUCGUAGUAAGAUCGCAAAGGUCGCUGUGCAAUCGUAGCGAGAGCGUGAUUCUAUUCGGAGAGAUUGCGCUACGAUCUCACACAACAUUAUCACGACCUUACUACGACCAUCACGUUCUCACCGCGACCCAACUACGCUUCCACUACGACUUUCUUACGCUGUUCACGACCAUAUUACGAUUCUAGCACGCCCUUGCCGUCCUCAUCACGCUCUUCUCACGACCUUACUACGUUCACACUACGACCAUCAUUAUUAUUGUCAUUUUCACAUAAAAUAUAUAAAAAAAAAACUCCCUAGAUUUUGUUUGUCUAAAUGUAUUUAUCCAUUUGCUCUAACGGCUCAACCAUGCUUCUCGUUUUUAUAUAGAUUAGACCGUUGGUUUUUCCCGUUUAAAUGGUUUAACAUUAGUAUUUUUUGGGUCCCCUUAUAGCGUGCUGUUCGGUGUGAGCCAAGGCUCCGUAUUGAAGGCCGUACCUUGGCCUAUAAUGGUUUACUUUUAUAGAUGUUUACGUUGAUGGAGAGUUGUCUCAUUGGCACUCAUACCACAUCUUCCUAUAUAUAUUGACACAUCUGUGUCAUCUCUGCUAUCGUUCACUAAAAUAUCGUCAUUUGAGCUUUAUGGACCAGCAAUAGGUUGUAAUUUAGGUUUGAUUGGUCGUUUCGACAUCUCUUGAUGACAAGUAUUAUACUACUUAUGUGUAUAGUAUCAGUUUAAUUGAAGUCUGGAGCUGGCAUGUCAGUUAACUGCUAGUCUGUUGUUAUUUAUGUAUUAUUGUCAUUUUGUUUAUUUUCUUUAGUCACAUCUUCUGACAUCAGACUCGGACUUCUCUUUAACUGAAUUUUAAUGUGCGUAUUGUUAUGCGUUUACUUUUCUUCAUUGGCUAGAGGUAUAGGGGGAGGGUUGUGAUCUCACAAACAUGUUUAACCCCACUAUUUUUGCGCCUGUCCCAAGUCAGGAGCCUCUGGCCUUUGUUAGUCUUGUACUAUUUUUAAUUUUAGUUUCUUGUGUACGAUUUGGAGUUUAGUAUGGCGUUCAUACUUUGCUCCCUCUGCCUCUACGUCAACCCCUAUCACCACGCCCAUGUGUUCUAGUAGAUUUUGGUGGCAUGACUGUAUUGUUUCCGAGAAAUCUCCGUUUUAAUCAGAAAUAGAAGGAAUGGAACUAUAUUAAUAUGAAACACGAUAUUGACGGUAUUGCUGAGAACGUAGUAAGAUCGCGGUAUGAACGUAGUAUAAUCGUGGUAAAAACGUGCUAUAAUCGCAGUAAGAUCGUGUUGCAAUCGGAUAGCUCGUGGUAUGGUCGUGGUGAGAACGUGAAGAGCGUAGAAAGAUCUUUAUAAGCGUAGUGAGGUCGCAGAAUAAGCGCGGUGAGAACGUGGUUUAAUCGUAGCGGGAUCGUUGUAGAAGCGUAAUUAGGACGUAGUAGCAUCGUGAAAACAACGAAAAUUAACAUUUUCAUGCCGCUCAUACAGCGACCUCACCACGAUCUAAAUUUAUUUUAGAUCGCGGUGAGCGUGGUGCGAUCGUGGUCUAGUGGGACUGGGGC
rnacentral:lncRNA from 1 species